GUAUAUAGGAAAAAACGAAAGGUGUUAUCCACAAUAUCAAUAAUUUGUUUCAGCUAUGAUGUCAACUUCACGAUCACGGAAACCGCUUUGUAGCUUUCGAAACCAGAAGUAGCUUGACAGAAAACAUAAUCCAGUAAUCCAGGCACUUUCGUUAUUGAAAGAGUGCCCCUCGAGUAUCGGGUCUCUCAGAACCAUCGAGGCAUUGAAAACGGAAAUGUGAAAAAGUCUAGAUUCUUCAAUGGAGCAGAAAAAGCGUCAACACAAAUGGCCUCGUCAGAUUCGCUGAAUCAUUCUAAAAAUGUACAAUGAAUGUGUGGAUCGUAUAGAUGAACUAAAAAAACACGGCGUUAAAACGUCUACUUUUGUUACUCGCUGUCUAUCUCCUGAAGGAUGGCAAGGAAUUCGUGAUAACAUAUUCUUGCGGCUGGCUUGAAGAUAAAGGUACGGUAAUGCUAGUAAUAAAAUUAUCCAACUUUUCUC